rnacentral:rRNA from 1 species
GAUGAACGCUGGCGGCGUGCCUAAUACAUGCAAGUCGAGCGAACAGACGAGGAGCUUGCUCCUCUGACGUUAGCGGCGGACGGGUGAGUAACACGUGGAUAACCUACCUAUAAGACUGGGAUAACUUCGGGAAACCGGAGCUAAUACCGGAUAAUAUAUUGAACCGCAUGGUUCAAUAGUGAAAGACGGUUUUGCUGUCACUUAUAGAUGGAUCCGCGCCGCAUUAGCUAGUUGGUAAGGUAACGGCUUACCGAGGCAACGAUGCGUAGCCGACCUGAGAGGGUGAUCGGCCACACUGGAACUGAGACACGGUCCAGACUCCUACGGGAGGCAGCAGUAGGGAAUCUUCCGCAAAGGGCGAAAGCUUGACGGAGCAACGCCGCGUGAGUGAUGAAGGUCUUCGGAUCGUAAAACUCUGUUAUUAGGGAAGAACAAAUGUGUAAGUAACUAUGCACGUCUUGACGGUACCUAAUCAGAAAGCCACGGCUAACUACGUG